rnacentral:rRNA from 1 species
ACGGGUGCGUAACACGUGGGCAAUCUGCCCUUUGAUGGGGAAUAACCCGCCGAAAGGCGGGCUAAUUCCGCAUAAGAUUCCCGGAACUUCGGUUCUGGGAUUGAAAGCAGCAAUGCGUCGAAGGAGGAGCCCGCGCCCGAUUAGCUAGUUGGUGAGGUAACGGCUCACCAAGGCUAUGAUCGGUAGCUGGUCUGAGAGGAUGAUCAGCCACACUGGAACUGAGACACGGUCCAGACUCCUACGGGAGGCAGCAGUGGGGAAUCUUGCACAAUGGGCGAAAGCCUGAUGCAGCGACGCCGCGUGGGGGAUGAAGCAUUUCGGUGUGUAAACCCCUUUCGACUGGGACGAAUGCCUCGCAAGAGGAGUGACGGUACCAGUAGAAGAAGCCCCGGCUAACUACGUGCCAGCAGCCGCGG